rnacentral:rRNA from 1 species
UACGGAGGGUGCAAGCGUUGCUCGGAAUUACUGGGCGUAAAGCGCACGUAGGCGGCUUCUUAAGUCGGUGGUGAAAUCCUGGAGCUCAACUCCAGAACUGCCUUCGAUACUGGGAAGCUCGAGUCCGGGAGAGGUGAGUGGAACUGCGAGUGUAGAGGUGAAAUUCGUAGAUAUUCGCAAGAACACCAGUGGCGAAGGCGGCUCACUGGCCCGGUACUGACGCUGAGGUGCGAAAGCGUGGGGAGCAAACAGG